rnacentral:rRNA from 1 species
GACGAACGCUGGCGGCGUGCCUAAUACAUGCAAGUCGAGCGCAGGAAACUGACGGAACUCUUCGGAGGGAAGGCAGCGGAAUGAGCGGCGGACGGGUGAGUAACACGUAAGGAACCUGCCUCAAGGAUUGGGAUAACUCCGAGAAAUCGGAGCUAAUACCGGAUCGUUCAACGGACCGCAUGGUCCGCUGAUGAAAGGCGCUCCGGCGUCACCUUGAGAUGGCCUUGCGGUGCAUUAGGUAGUUGGUGGGGUAACGGCCCACCAAGGCGACGAUGCAUAGCCGACCUGAGAGGGUGAUCGGACACACUGGGACUGAGACACGGCCCAGACUCCUACGGGAGGCAGCAGUAGGGAAUCUUCCACAAUGGACGAAAGUCUGAUGGAGCAACGCCGCGUGAGUGAUGAAGGUUUUCGGAUCGUAAAACUCUGUUGUAAGGGAAGAACACGUACGAGAGGAAACGCUCGUACCUUGACGGUACCUUACGAGAAAGCCACGGCUAACUACGUGCCAGCCGCCGCUGUAACAC